rnacentral:rRNA from 1 species
CCUACGGGUGGCAGCAGUGAGGAAUAUUGGUCAAUGGACGAGAGUCUGAACCAGCCAAGUAGCGUGAAGGAUGACUGCCCUAUGGGUUGUAAACUUCUUUUAUAUGGGAAUAAAAUGUUCCACGUGUGGGAUUUUGUAUGUACCAUAUGAAUAAGGAUCGGCUAACUCCGUGCCAGCAGCCGCGGUAAUACGGAGGAUCCGAGCGUUAUCCGGAUUUAUUGGGUGUAAAGGGAGCGUAGGUGGAUUUUUAAGUCAGUUGUGAAAGUUUGCGGCUCAACCGUAAAAUUGCAGUUGAAACUGGCAGUCUUGAGUACAGGAGAGGUGGGCGGAAUUCGUGGUGUAGCGGUGAAAUGCUUAGAUAUCACGAAGAACUCCGAUUGCGAAGGCAGUUCACUGGACUGCAACUGACACUGAGGCUCGAAAGUGUGGGUAUCAAACAGGAUUAGAUACCCUUGUAGUC